GAUGAACGCUGGCGGCGUGCCUAAUACAUGCAAGUCGAGCGAACAGACGAGGAGCUUGCUCCUCUGACGUUAGCGGCGGACGGGUGAGUAACACGUGGAUAACCUACCUAUAAGACUGGGAUAACUUCGGGAAACCGGAGCUAAUACCGGAUAAUAUAUUGAACCGCAUGGUUCAAUAGUGAAAGACGGUUUUGCUGUCACUUAUAGAUGGAUCCGCGCCGCAUUAGCUAGUUGGUAAGGUAACGGCUUACCAAGGCAACGAUGCGUAGCCGACCUGAGAGGGUGAUCGGCCACACUGGAACUGAGACACGGUCCAGACUCCUACGGGAGGCAGCAGUAGGGAAUCUUCCUCAAUGGGCGAAAGCCUGACGGAGCAACGCCGCGUGAGUGAUGAAGGUCUUCGGAGCGUAAAACUCUGUUAUUAGGGAAGAACAAAUGUGUAAGUAACUAUGCACGUCUUGACGGUACCUAAUCAGAAAGCCACGGCUAGCUACGUG
rnacentral:rRNA from 1 species